rnacentral:lncRNA from 1 species
AUUCAAACUGCCCUAUGGAGCAGCCCAAAGGGUGCAGACCUGAGACCUCUGACCAACAGUCAGCAGGGAACUGAGACCUGCUGCCCACAGCCAUGUAAGCGAGCAUGGAAAUGGAUCCUGUAGCCCUGGUCAAGCCUUCAGACACCUGAAGGGAAUGAUCUCCUUUCCUACUUCUGAGCAUUGUUACCUACAUGUGAAUCUUGGAACUGCUGCAGUCUUAAUGAUACCUAAGAUACCAGCCUUGAGUGAUGAGGAAGUUGAAAUCAAGACAAACAAGUGAUGUGGCCAAGGCCAAACAGUUGAUAAGUUUGCUGUCUUUGGUGCCUAGUCUAGAGAGAACCAGCAGCAUCUACUAGAAAGAGAUGAAUGUCAUGCUAAUUUUAUAUGUGACCACGGGUGAGUCACUUCCCCUCACCAGGAAAAGAUGUCUUUAUCUGUAAAAGAGAUGAUUGAAAUAAACUAUCUUGAAGGUC